GAUGAACGCUGGCGGCGUGCCUAAUACAUGCAAGUCGAGCGAACAGACGAGGAGCUUGCUCCUCUGACGUUAGCGGCGGACGGGUGAGUAACACGUGGAUAACCUACCUAUAAGACUGGGAUAACUUCGGGAAACCGGAGCUAAUACCGGAUAAUAUAUUGAACCGCAUGGUUCAAUAGUGAAAGACGGUUUUGCUGUCACUUAUAGAUGGAUCCGCGCCGCAUUAGCUAGUUGGUAAGGUAACGGCUUACCAAGGCGACGAUGCGUAGCCGACCUGAGAGGGUGAUCGGCCAAACUGGAACUGAGACACGGUCCAGACUCCUACGGGAGGCAGCAGUAGGGAAUCUUCCGCAAAGGGCGAAAGCCUGACGGAGCAACGCCGCGUGAGUGAUGAAGGUCUUCGGAUCGUAAAACUCUGUUAUUAGGGAAGAACAAAUGUGUAAGUAACUAUGCACGUCUUGACGGUACCUAAUCAGAAAGCCACGGCUAACUACGUG
rnacentral:rRNA from 1 species